GUUUGAAUGCUGUUACUAAUUAACCAAACUAUCAACAGAAAUAGAAGCAACACAUAAUCUGCUGGAGGAACUCAGAGGGUCAAACAGCAUCAGUGGAAGGAAAGAAAUUGCUGAUGGUCUGGGUGGAAACCCUGCAGUGCUUUCCAGCACCGGCUGUAAGACUGGGGUUCAAUUCCUCCCACUGCCUCUAAGGAGUCUGUACACUCUCCCUGUCACUAUGUGGGUUUCCUCUGGGUGUUCCACUCUCCUUCUACAUUACAAAGACAUGCAGUUUAGGAAUAAGCAAAUCUUAAACUUAAAAUUACAGGAAGCACAGACAGAAAUCAGGACAAGAUAACCAGUGCCUCAGAUGUCCACCUCACUGGUGAAACAGUGCAUCAACCACCCUCUCCAAUAAUGUGCGACUCUGGAGAGGCAGCAAAAGGCAGUUCCGGUCAGACUCACACAGUGAGCACCAUAUGCAUGGUUGGCACUGCAUAAAGAGAACAAUUUGCCACUGCUAACUCUCGCUCAAUGUGCAGCAUUCUGCAAAACCAGGGUGCAUGCAAAUAUAUUUUUAAUUGAUUGCCAAUUGCAAAAGAAAACCUAAUCGUACUGUGCAGUGAAGAUAAAACUACAAGAUAUGGACAAGAGUGGUAAAUAAUUUGAAGGCUACAGCUUUGAUUGGUGUAAGGGUGAAGGUUGCCUAACACAGGAGCAGGACUAGAACACUCAAACAGAUCAUAACAGCUUAGCAUCUUCUUCCCACUCUGCGAUUGGCACCCCUCAGAUUAUCUCUGGCAAUCAUUCCACCACCCUUGUGCCGAUGACUCUCUGUGGAUUUCAGUUCAGAACGCUAUUUGCUUGCAUUUCUUGUUUGCAUGUUUUGUAUUCUUUUCUCUGGGUGUUUGAUGGUCUCUUUUUUAACGUUUUUUUUUCCAGUUUUGUUUCGUUUUGCGGCUAGCUGUUAGGAGGUGAACAUCAGGGUUGUUUCAUGUACACAUACUUCGAUAAUAAACGCACUUUGAACUUUGUGUUGAAUUCCUUUCUCAAGCCUGAAUUCGUUGAACUCCCUGGCUUUAAUGUUAAUGCUGAAACUUUUGUUCCAUACUCUCCCACAAAAGGCAGUGAAUUGAGGAAACUUUCUACUAUCUAUCCUGCAUAGCAUCCAAUGCAGCCUAGAUAAAUCCUCUGAACCGUGGCUCGGUAUGAAAACUGCUCUGGCCAAGACUGCAAGAAGCUGUUGCGUUGUGGACACACAGUUCAGCACAUCACGGAAACCAGCCUCCCCUCCGUGAAUUCUCUCCACACUUCCCACUGCCUUGAGAAAGCAGCCAACAUAAUCAAAGACCCUCCCAUUCUGAACAUUUUAUCUUCUCUUUCCCCUCAGACGCAAGAUACAAAAGCCUGAAAGCAAAUACCACCAGGAUCAAGGACAGCAUCAACCCCACUGUUAUCAGACUAUCGAAGGUACCAUAGUCACUACCUUCUGAACAUUCUGCUGCAAAACGUUUAAAGGGACACUGGAGCCUCUGCCCGGGACUCUCAAUCCUUUGUGUUAGGUAUAUUACAUCAAGGGCUGGACACAUAGAAAAGGGAUUGCAUUCUUUACUCUGCUUGAUCAAAGGUGUGUACUGGAAAAAGCAUUAAACAACUUGAAUCAUGAAAUAAACUUUUCGUAAGACAUUGAGUGUGAGCCUUCAGGCUCCUGAUGGUGGCAAUGAGAAGGUCCCAGGUGAUGGGGGUCCUUCAUGAUGGAUGCCGCCUUUUUGAGGCAUCGCCUUUUGAGGAUGUCCUCAAUGCUGGGGAGUGGCUGACACAAGAACAAGUGCGUCUGCUCAUGUGAGAUUGCACACUUUGGUUGGGUGGAAGUUUUUCCACAACCUAAGGCACCAAAAUAUCUAAUUUACUUGCUGUUGUCGUUGGUGUCAGAAUCUUUUUUUUUAUUUAGAGAUCCAGCACAGUAACAGAUCCCUUCCAGCCCAAUGAGCCUGCACGACCCAAUUACACCCAUGUGACCAACUGACCUACUAACUUGUGCUUCUUUGGAAUGUGGGAAUCGAGAGGAAGCCCACGCGUUCACAGGGAGAACUACAAGGUCCUUACAGGCUAAGGCAUGGAUUGAACCUGGGUCGCUGGCACUGUAAUAACGCUAACCGCAGUGUUACCGUGUUGCCCUAUUUGUGGAAUAUGUGGCAACACUUGCAGGUUGCCCACAGUGUUGCCUGUAACACAAACGGUGCACUUCACUGUAUUCUUUGGUUCAUGCUGAAUCUGAAAUAAAGCACCAUAAAUCUCCUUCAUUUUAGUCUAUCAGUACAUUCUUCUGUCCUCUCCCCCUUCCAAAAGGCAGUGUCCAUCACUAAG